GCAGUCCCUCCACCAGCAUCCAGGCAAAGGCACUCAGAAAGAAGUAGUGUAGCAGGACAGCCAGAACCUGGCACGGAACCUGGGAGCCAAGCAAAGACGCGGAGGGACAUCUGCAGGGUGAGGAUCGGCACCUACUCACCGUGCCGGGCUCCACACGGAAGCUGAUGAGCAGCAGGACCUGGGCCACCAGGACAGCGAAGGACAGGUUGGCGUGGAUGUGGUAACGCUGGUUCCGAAUGGUGCUGACGGAACUGAAGACAGAGAGGCGAGCAUUGGACCUCUAUUGGGACAAAUGCCAGGCAUGAGUGGCUGCUCUCUGGAGAGUAUGUACCUCGUUGUACUGCCCAGCAGACCCUCCCGGGUAGACCAAAGGAAAAACAGAAUAUCCCUCAGUUCAGUGAUCCAGCAUGUGGAGGACCCAGAGGAGGAAGAUCUCCCCUGGUGUCAUUUGAAAUGUUCCUCAAUGAGACAUGGAGUGCACCUUCGCCAUCUCUCUGAGUGGCCUUUGUGAUGCUCAGGUUCCCAGCUAGCACCUUGGAUGCUCACUCGCUCAACUGCCCACCAAGAAGUUACCUCCAAUGACAACACCAUUGGCCAAGGUACCUUCUCUGCUGGCUCUUGGUGUGUGCUUGUCAAAAGCCAUUGGUUCAUUCCCUGCAACUCUCGAGCAUCUUCCCAGGGCAGCUCACAGCUUCCUGCUGAUCUCACCUCCAGGCCUGUGGUCUGUGUCCUAUGUCCCUUUAUGCUCCCUUACCUAGCGUAGAUUUCUAUGUGAACCAUCUCAAGUCAUACUCCCCAGCUUGCCCUUCAAAGAUGUUAGCAAUGUGUGCAGCCAUCCCCCAGAUAUGAGACAACUUUGUAGAUAGUCGAGAUCUGUUUAGGGGAGGCGAUUGAUGGCUGCUAUGAUCUGAGGACAGUAGCUGUCUAUGUAGCACUCACCUGCAGC